GGGGGCGGGGCUAAUGCAGUCGAGCGGACAGAUGGGAGCUUGCUCCCUGAUGUUAGCGGCGGACGGGUGAGUAACACGUGGGUAACCUGCCUGUAAGACUGGGAUAACUCCGGGAAACCGGGGCUAAUACCGGAUGGUUGUUUGAACCGCAUGGUUCAGACAUAAAAGGUGGCUUCGGCUACCACUUACAGAUGGACCCGCGGCGCAUUAGCUAGUUGGUGAGGUAACGGCUCACCAAGGCGACGAUGCGUAGCCGACCUGAGAGGGUGAUCGGCCACACUGGGACUGAGACACGGCCCAGACUCCUACGGGAGGCAGCAGUAGGGAAUCUUCCGCAAUGGACGAAAGUCUGACGGAGCAACGCCGCGUGAGUGAUGAAGGUUUUCGGAUCGUAAAGCUCUGUUGUUAGGGAAGAACAAGUGCCGUUCAAAUAGGGCGGCACCUUGACGGUACCUAACCAGAAAGCCACGGCUAACUACGUGCCAGCAGCCGCGGUAAUACGUAGGUGGCAAGCGUUGUCCGGAAUUAUUGGGCGUAAAGGGCUCGCAGGCGGUUUCUUAAGUCUGAUGUGAAAGCCCCCGGCUCAACCGGGGAGGGUCAUUGGAAACUGGGGAACUUGAGUGCAGAAGAGGAGAGUGGAAUUCCACGUGUAGCGGUGAAAUGCGUAGAGAUGUGGAGGAACACCAGUGGCGAAGGCGACUCUCUGGUCUGUAACUGACGCUGAGGAGCGAAAGCGUGGGGAGCGAACAGGAUUAGAUACCCUGGUAGUCCACGCCGUAAACGAUGAGUGCUAAGUGUUAGGGGGUUUCCGCCCCUUAGUGCUGCAGCUAACGCAUUAAGCACUCCGCCUGGGGAGUACGGUCGCAAGACUGAAACUCAAAGGAAUUGACGGGGGCCCGCACAAGCGGU
rnacentral:rRNA from 1 species